rnacentral:rRNA from 1 species
CCUACGGGUGGCUGCAGUGGGGAAUAUUGCACAAUGGGGGAAACCCUGAUGCAGCGACGCCGCGUGAGCGAUGAAGUAUUUCGGUAUGUAAAGCUCUAUUAGCAGGGAAGAAAAUGACGGUACGUGACAAAGAAGCCCCGGCUAACUACGUGCCAGCAGCCGCGGUAAUACGUAGGGGGCAGGCGUUAUCCGGAUUUACUGGGUGUAAAGGGAGCGUAGACGGCUGUGCAAGCCAGCUGUGAAAGGCCGGGGCUCAACCCCGGGACUGCAUUGGGAACUGUGUGGCUGGAGUGUCGGAGAGGCAGGCGGAAUUCCUGGUGUAGCGGUGAAAUGCGUAGAUAUUAGGAGGAACACCGGUGGCGAAGGCGGCCUGCUGGACGGUUACUGACGUUGAGGCUCGAAAGCGUGGGGAGCGAACAGGAUUAGAUACCCGGGUAGUC